UGGGGGAUAUUGCACAAUGGGCGAAAGCCUGAUGCAGCGACGCCGCGUGGGGGAUGAAGGCCUUCGGGUUGUAAACUUCUUUUGCUCUGAACAAGGCAUGCCUUUGGGGUGUGUUGAGUGUAGGGGUUGAUUAGCGCCGGCUAACUACGUGCCAGCAGCCGCGGUAAUACGUAGGGCGCGAGCGUUGUCCGGAAUUAUUGGGCGUAAAGGGCUUGUAGGUGGCUGGUUGCGUCUGUCGUGAAAGCUCAUGGCUUAACUGUGGGUUUGCUGUGGGUACGGGCUGGCUUGAGUGCAGUAGGGGAGGCUGGAAUUCCUGGUGUAGCGGUGGAAUGCGCAGAUAUCAGGAGGAAUACCGGUGGCGAAGGCGGGUCUCUGGGCUGUUACUGACGCUGAGGAGCGAAAGCGUGGGGAGCGAACAGG
rnacentral:rRNA from 1 species